rnacentral:rRNA from 1 species
UACGUAGGGGGCAAGCGUUGUCCGGAAUCAUUGGGCGUAAAGAGCGUGUAGGCGGUCCGAUAAGUCCGCUCUGAAAGCCCGGGGCUCAACCCCGGGAGGCGGGCGGAUACUGUCGGGCUAGAGUCCGGAAGAGGCAAGUGGAAUUCCUGGUGUAGCGGUGAAAUGCGCAGAUAUCAGGAGGAACACCGGUGGCGAAGGCGGGUCUCUGGGCCGUAACUGACGCUGAGGAGCGAAAGCAUGGGGAGCGAACAGG